AAUUAUAAAAAAAAAAAAAGAGAUUUUAUUAAAUAACUAAAUCUAAGCUAGGGCUAGACACUAUACAGUUCGGUUCGGUUUAAACAAAAAACCGAAUCGAGCUGAAACCGAUCAGUUCUCUCAAAUUAGAACCGAAGGCAACCCGAAAUUUAAAACCAAAUCGAACCGAACCAAAAUUUUUCGGUCCGAUUUGGUUCUGGUUCUGAAUUUCAGUUUAGUUCGGGUUAGCUUCGUUCUUUUCAAUUUCAAGUCUACAAUUUUCUCAUGUAUUAAACUUAUUAACUUUACAUACAAUGUAAUAAAACUCAGCAAAAUAAUAAAGGCCCAAUACAUUAUAAAUUGACAAAAACAAAAAAAAAAUAUAAUAUUUUUUCAUUGUCAAAAUAAUAAUAACAAACCAAAAAUCUCGUGGGUUUGAAAAUGACUAUUUUCCCACAACCAAACAAGGCCAGCACACGGGGUUUCAAUAUCAACAUUUUUAAUAACCAACAAUGCCUCCAAAAUCACCAUUUUUCCAACAACCAAACAAGGCCAACCCAUGCGUGUCAAAGCAGGCAUUCGGCAACAGCAACAAAUACAAUACACCAAAAGCUAGCGAGUCUGCAAUAGGAACAAAUACUCCAAAAAAAAGCUAAAAAAUCAAAAUUUAAUAUUGUUACUGUACUUAGACAAAGAAAUGCAUCUAGAUCUAUAAUAUUUGUUGUGAGAGAAACAAGAAGAAACUAAGAAUCUUUGUGUGGUGGCCGACGGCCGGCAAUGAUUCUGGCUGAAGGACGCUGUUCUAGGGUUGUGACGAACGGCCGGUGGCUAACAGGUGGUUGUGCUAAAGGGUUGACGAUGGUUGUGUGGUGCAUGAGGAGCGGCUGCCAUAUGCGUGUAUGGUGUCAAAGAGGAGUGGUUUCUGGCUGUAGAAAUAGGAUGUGUUGAUCCGAGUGUGAGGGAUGGUGUGCUACUGCUGUGUUUGAGAGAUAAGUGUGUGAGAUUUAGGUUUCCGUUUACUAUAUCUAUGUGUGUGUGUGUGUAUUAAAAUAUUUUUUAUUUUUAAAUGAAAGAACCUAAUGGUUUUUCGGUUCGGUUCAGUUUUGAGCCGAACCAAAUACAAACCAACUGAUUCUUUAAUUUCCAAACCAUUCGAAUUUUACCUUUAAAACUGAAUCGAACUGGAUUGAACAAUAUCGGUUCGGUUCGGUUCGAUAAAAGCCAAACCAAAUGUCCACCCCUACUCUAAACUAUGAAAACAAUAAACAAGAUUAAAAUAAUAAAGGAAAAUGGAAUGUAAUAAUAAAUGUAAGAUUAAAAUUUUCAGUGAGGCAUGAAGUGCACUAUGAUAUUAUUUUAAGUGGUUUUUCUAGUGGUGUUUAGAAGAUUUUCAAGGUUAAAUAGCUAAGCUAGCCUUAGCAUAAGGAUUAAAUCAUAUAUUUGAUAUAAUAUCAUUUUUUUUCUGUUUCAUUAAUCUUAUUUUAGGUUACAGUGUAUAUAAAAUUUAAAUGUAAUUUCCUGGAGGAUGCUCAGACAUCAAUUUUGUCAGCUAUUUAAUAAACUAAAUAAGCACAUCUUUUUC
rnacentral:lncRNA from 1 species